rnacentral:rRNA from 1 species
UCUGGGACAAGCCCUGGAAACGGGGUCUAAUACCGGAUACUGAUCACCUUGGGCAUCCAAGGUGUUCGAAAGCUCCGGCGGUGCAGGAUGAGCCCGCGGCCUAUCAGCUUGUUGGUGAGGUAGUGGCUCACCAAGGCGACGACGGGUAGCCGGCCUGAGAGGGCGACCGGCCACACUGGGACUGAGACACGGCCCAGACUCCUACGGGAGGCAGCAGUGGGGAAUAUUGCACAAUGGGCGAAAGCCUGAUGCAGCGACGCCGCGUGAGGGAUGACGGCCUUCGGGUUGUAAACCUCUUUCAGCAGGGAAGAAGCGAAAGUGACGGUACCUGCAGAAGAAGCGCCGGCUAACUACGUGCCAGCAGCCGCGGUAAUACGUAGGGCGCGAGCGUUGUCCGGAAUUAUUGGGCGUAAAGAGCUCGUAGGCGGCUUGUCACGUCGGUUGUGAAAGCCCGGGGCUUAACCCCGGGUCUGCAGUCGAUACGGGCAGGCUAGAGUUCGGUAGGGGAGAUCGGAAUUCCUGGUGUAGCGGUGAAAUGCGCAGAUAUCAGGAGGAACACCGGUGGCGAAGGCGGAUCUCUGGGCCGAUACUGACGCUGAGGAGCGAAAGCGUGGGGAGCGAACAGGAUUAGAUACCCUGGUAGUCCACGCCGUAAACGGUGGGCACUAGGUGUGGGCAACAUUCCACGUUGUCCGUGCCGCAGCUAACGCAUUAAGUGCCCCGCCUGG